rnacentral:rRNA from 1 species
GAUGAACGCUGGCGGCGUGCCUAAUACAUGCAAAUCGAGCGAACAGACGAGGAGCUUGCUCCUUUGACGUUAGCGGCGGACGGGUGAGUAACACGUGGGUAACCUACCUAUAAGACUGGGAUGACUUCGGGAAACCGGAGCUAAUACCGGAUAAUAUUUCGAACCGCAUGGUUCGAUAGUGAAAGAUGGCUUUGCUAUCACUUAUAGAUGGACCUGCGCCGUAUUAGCUAGUUGGUAAGGUAACGGCUUACCAAGGCAACGAUACGUAGCCGACCUGAGAGGGUGAUCGGCCACACUGGAACUGAGACACGGUCCAGACUCCUACGGGAGGCAGCAGUAGGGAAUCUUCCGCAAUGGGCGAAAGCCUGACGGAGCAACGCCGCGUGAGUGAUGAAGGUCUUCGGAUCGUAAAACUCUGUUAUUAGGGAAGAACAAACGUGUAAGUAACUGUGCACGUCUUGACGGUACCUAAUCAGAAAGCCACGGCUAACUACGUG